rnacentral:ncRNA from 2 species
AUUUAAAAUAAAGCGCCAGAACUUAAGUGUACUACUUAAUUAAUAGUACUAUGGUUCAAAAUAAAAGGUGAUUUAAAUUUAUUUUGUAAAUACUAUAGUAAUUUUUUUAAGGAAUUUAACUAGCUAAAGCUAGUUAACUAAGUUCGACUAACCAAAUCAUAGAUUUGGAGUCUCACUUAUCACUUGCCCGAUUACACUGGGUAAGUUCUGCUAACUAAAUCGAAGAUUUAGAGCAUCACUUAAGUUGACGAGGUUGGGGAGUUAUCGAAACUUCGGCGGGUGCCCCACGGUAUUUGCACUACCGUUAACAACUGGCAAAACUUUAAAGCGAUUUAAAGAACAAAUCCAGUUUGGUGUUAAAA